rnacentral:rRNA from 1 species
ACUCCUACGGGAGGCAGCAGUGGGGAAUAUUGCACAAUGGGCGCAAGCCUGAUGCAGCAACGCCGUGUGAGUGAAGAAGGUUUUCGGAUCGUAAAACUCUGUCCUAAGGGAAGAAACAAAUGACGGUACCUUAGGAGGAAGCCCCGGCUAACUACGUGCCAGCAGCCGCGGUAAUACGUAGGGGGCAAGCGUUAUCCGGAAUCACUGGGCGUAAAGGGUGCGUAGGCGGCUUAGCAAGCCAGGGGUGAAAGGCAUUGGCUCAACCAAUGUAAGCCUUUGGAACUGUUAAGCUUGAGUGCAGGAGAGGUAAGUGGAAUUCCUAGUGUAGAGGUGAAAUUCGUAGAUAUUAGGAGGAACACCAGUGGCGAAGGCGACUUACUGGACUGUAACUGACGCUGAUGCACGAAAGCGUGGGUAGCGAACAGGAUUAGAUACCCUGGUAGGAAAGCG